rnacentral:rRNA from 1 species
GACGAACGCUUGCGGCGUGCUUAACACAUGCAAGUCGAACGGAAAGGCCCUGCUUUUGUGGGGUGCUCGAGUGGCGAACGGGUGAGUAACACGUGAGUAACCUGCCCUUGACUUUGGGAUAACUUCAGGAAACUGGGGCUAAUACCGGAUAGGAGCUCCUGCUGCAUGGUGGGGGUUGGAAAGUUUCGGCGGUUGGGGAUGGACUCGCGGCUUAUCAGCUUGUUGGUGGGGUAGUGGCUUACCAAGGCUUUGCCGGGUAGCCGGCCUGAGAGGGUGACCGGCCACAUUGGGACUGAGACACGGCCCAGACUCCUACGGGAGGCAGCAGUGGGGAAUAUUGCACAAUGGGCGGAAGCCUGAUGCAGCAACGCCGCGUGCGGGAUGACGGCCUUCGGGUUGUAAACCGCUUUCGCCUGUGACGAAGCGUGAGUGACGGUAAUGGGUAAAGAAGCACCGGCUAACUACGUG